CGACCCCAGGUCAGGCGGGACUACCCGCUGAGUUUAAGCAUAUAAAUAAGCGGAGGAGAAGAAACUUACAAGGAUUCCCCUAGUAACGGCGAGCGAACCGGGAGCAGCCCAGCUUGAGAAUCGGGCGGCUGUGACGUCCGAAUUGUAGUCUGGAGAGGCGUCCUCAGCGACGGACCGGGCCCAAGUCCCCUGGAAAGGGGCGCCU
rnacentral:ncRNA from 1 species